GCUUAUGGAGUUUGAAAAGAAUGUUUGCUUGUGAUGUAAGAGGUGCACUAAAAAAGGGGUGCUGUGAGUG
rnacentral:tRNA from 1 species